rnacentral:rRNA from 1 species
CUGCGAAUGGCUCAUUAUAUAAGUUAUCGUUUAUUUGAUAAUACUUUACUACUUGGAUAACCGUGGUAAUUCUAGAGCUAAUACAUGCUAAAAAUCCCGACUUCGGAAGGGUUGUAUUUAUUAGAUUAAAAACCAAUGCCCCUCGGGGCUCUCUGGUGAAUCAUAAUAACUAGUCGAAUCGACAGGCCUUGUGCCGGCGAUGGCUCAUUCAAAUUUCUUCCCUAUCAACUUUCGAUGUUUGGGUCUUGUCCAAACAUGGUGGCAACGGGUAACGGAGGGUUAGGGCUCGACCCCGGAGAAGGAGCCUGAGAAACGGCUACUACAUCCAAGGAAGGCAGCAGGCGCGCAAAUUACCCAAUCCCGACACGGGGAGGUAGUGACAAUAAAUACUGAUACAGGGCUCUUUUGGGUCUUGUAAUCGGAAUGAGUACAAUUUAAAUCCCUUAACGAGGAACAAUUGGAGGGCAAGUCUGGUGCCAGCAGCCGCGGUAAUUCCAGCUCCAAUAGCGUAUAUUAAAGUUGUUGUGGUUAAAAAGCUCGUAGUUGAACCUUGGGCCUGGCUGGCCGGUCCGCCUCACCGCGUGCACUGGUCCGGCCGGGCCUUUCCCUCUGCGGAACCCCAUGCCCUUCACUGGGUGUGGCGGGGAAACAGGACUUUU